rnacentral:rRNA from 1 species
CCAGCCACACUGGAACUGAGACACGGUCCAGACUCCUACGGGAGGCAGCAGUGGGGAAUAUUGCACAAUGGGCGCAAGCCUGAUGCAGCCAUGCCGCGUGUAUGAAGAAGGCCUUCGGGUUGUAAAGUACUUUCAGCGGGGAGGAAGGGAGUAAAGUUAAUACCUUUGCUCAUUGACGUUACCCGCAGAAGAAGCACCGGCUAACUCCGUGCCAGCAGCCGCGGUAAUACGGAGGGUGCAAGCGUUAAUCGGAAUUACUGGGCGUAAAGCGCACGCAGGCGGUUUGUUAAGUCAGAUGUGAAAUCCCCGGGCUCAACCUGGGAACUGCAUCUGAUACUGGCAAGCUUGAGUC